rnacentral:tRNA from 1 species
UGGCUCAAAGGUUAAGAGCACUAGACUGUUCUUCCAGAGGUUCUGAGUUCAAUUCCCAG